rnacentral:rRNA from 1 species
AUGGACAUCUACAAGAGCGAGGAGCUGUUCUGGCAGCGUCGAGCGGGCCAGAACUGGCUCCUUAAGGGGGAUGCAAACACUGCCUACUUUCAGGCGGUUGCUAAUGGCCGCAGGAGGAAAUGUGCCAUCCCUUUCCUCUGGGAUGGGGAUGCCCUUCUGGAGAACCCAGUUGACAUCUCCACCCAUAUAUACUCCUUUUAUAAGGAGCUGUUCUCAGCUGAGCCGCGUGGAGGUGUCUCCCUCUGCGAUGAUUUCUGGCCGCUUGCAUACCAGGUCUCCGAUGCGGAGAAUGCGGAACUUACUCUCCCAUUCUCUCCUGAGGAGGUGGGUCAGGCGAUUGCUUCU